rnacentral:rRNA from 1 species
UACAGAGGGUGCAAGCGUUGCUCGGAUUUACUGGGCGUAAAGCGUACGCAGACGGUGAGAAAGGUCGGAUGUGAAAGCCCCGGGCUCAACCCUGGGAACUGCAUCCGGAAACCAUCUCGCUAGAGUAUGAGAGAGGGAAGCAGAAUUCCGUGGUGUAGAGGUGAAAUUCGUAGAUAUCAGGAGGAAUACCUGCGGCGAAGGCGGCUUCCUGGCUCAUUACUGACGUUCAGGUACGAAAGCGUGGGUAGCAAACAGG